UCGGAUGUGGUGCAUGGUGCACGGUGCACGUCAGUGUCGAGUACGUCGACUAUACAGAGAAAAGUCUUGAUAACUGAAGUCCGGGGCUCGACUCCCCGCAUCUGAA